AGUGAACGCUGGCGGUAGGCCUAACACAUGCAAGUCGAACGGCAGCACAGUAAGAGCUUGCUCUUACGGGUGGCGAGUGGCGGACGGGUGAGGAAUACAUCGGAAUCUACUUUUUCGUGGGGGAUAACGUAGGGAAACUUACGCUAAUACCGCAUACGACCUACGGGUGAAAGCAGGGGAUCUUCGGACCUUGCGCGAUUGAAUGAGCCGAUGUCGGAUUAGCUAGUUGGCGGGGUAAAGGCCCACCAAGGCGACGAUCCGUAGCUGGUCUGAGAGGAUGAUCAGCCACACUGGAACUGAGGCACGGUCCAGACUCCUACGGGAGGCAGCAGUGGGGAAUAUUGGACAAUGGGCGCAAGCCUGAUCCAGCCAUACCGCGUGGGUGAAGAAGGCCUUCUGGUUGUAAAGCCCUUUUGUUGGGAAAGAAAAGCAGCAGGUUAAUACCCCGCUGUUCUGACGGUACCCAAAGAAUAAGCACCGGCUAACUUCGUG
rnacentral:rRNA from 1 species